rnacentral:rRNA from 1 species
UGGGGAAUAUUGGGCAAUGGGGGCAACCCUGACCCAGCGACGCCGCGUGGGGGAAGACGGCCUUCGGGUUGUAAACCUCUUUUGUACGGGAAGAAGGAAGUGACGGUACCUGAGGAGGAAGCCCCGGCUAACUACGUGCCAGCAGCCGCGGUAAUACGUAGGGGGCGAGCGUUGUCCGGAAUGACUGGGCGUAAAGGGCGCGUAGACGGCUGUCUAAGUCUGGAGUGAAAGUCCUGCUUUCAAGGUGGGAAUUGCUUUGGAGACUGGAUGGCAUGAGUGCGGAAGAGGUAAGUGGAAUUCCCAGUGUAGCGGUGAAAUGCGUAGAGAUUGGGAGGAACACCAGUGGCGAAGGCGACUUACUGGGCCGUAACUGACGUUGAUGCGCGAAAGCGUGGGGAGCGAACAGG